GCCUCAGUGUGUGGCCCAGAAAACAUCACUCCCUUCUCUGAGCCUCCGGUCCCUGCCUGCAGAAGCAGGGGCUGAGUGUGUGAGGCCCUGCAGUCCUUUCUGUGAGCUCGUUCAGUCCCCAUGACCGCCACCCUAGGAGGUAGGUAGGUACGAUUUUCAGCCCCAUAGCACAGAUGAAGGAGGCCAGGCACUGAGAACAGCAGGUGGCUGUCCGCCCACAGCCAGGAGGUGGGAGAACAGGGAUUGGACACCCAGUCUGACCCCUGGCCUUUUCAGGGUCCUGGGCCCCCACGGGUGGUGUCAUCUCCAUCUCAUAGCUGCCCAAGGAUGGUCGGCCAGUGGCCGAGCCAAAACCAGAACUCAGUACCUCCUGGUUGCACAGACGUUCCAUUAAAUCUUCCAAAAUCAAGGGGUCAGAGACAGGAAGAAACAAGUGAUGAUGUCACUACCAAGUCCUGUUGAAGUGAGUGGGACUUGGGCCUUGUUCCUCAAAGCCCCCUCCCAGGCAUGGCCAACCAGCUCCUAGCAUGGCCGCAGCUGCCAGACGUCCCGAUUCUUGGGCCACCCAGAAUGUGGCUGAUCGGUGGCGGAUCAGCAGCAGGGCAUUUGCUGGGCUGACCCCCCGCCAGCCUGGCCUGGAGUCCAUCAGUGGAAGCCAGGGCCCCUGCCCAGCUGGACCUUGACAAAUCACCCUAGAUGCUAGUGCAAUUUAUUUGCACGUGGUUAGGAUGAGCGUCUGAAGCAGCGAGGCAGACAGGCACUUGAUGAAUUGGUUUUGUUAGGUCAGCCUGCACAAGUGGAAAUCAAUAGCAAUUCCUCUGUUGCGCCAGUUCUCUCGGUGUGUUUGAGAUGCAGAGUAGAUACGGGGGUGGUGUCCUCCCCUCGCGCUGUCAAAUUAGCUGAGAUCAGGCCCAGGGACAGACGUCUUGACAGGCAGCAGGAAGACUCUGUUUCCUCCUGGAGGCAUUUGCCAGGGACCCAGCUCAGUGGCAGGCCCAUUUUUUUUCUCUCUCUGAGCUGCUCAAGCCCAGCCCUUGGCCCUGGAGCAAAGUAAGGUGGGUUGCGGGGGGCUCCUUGGCUUUACCUGCCUUACCUGUUACUGUUUAUACAGCCCCUCACACCUUCACUUGUCAUCUGUACCUCCUGACCACCUGGAGUUCAGGCUUCACGUUAGCGUCCUGGUUUAAACGAUUUGAGAAGACGGGGGAUUUUUGAAAAUUUCCAGAAUGUAGUGCCAGGUCCAACUUAAUCUCCCUUGAAGAAUCACCUCAAGGUGAUUUUCCAUUUCAGAUCAUGAGGGCAUCCUUUCGGGCUUGCUUGGGAAACAGCUCAGGGGUCAUCCAGAAUAGUGCUGGCAGACAUACCCCUUCACCUCUUGGGGCCUUGGUUUUCCUACAUAUAAAGUGGGUACAUUGGACCAGAUGAAUGGUUUCCAUUUGGUGCCAAUUAGAUCCACCGAGGAGGCCCCAGGGUUUAAGAUGGGCAGCACUGCAAGUGAAGUGGGGUGGAGGCUCUGAACCCUGCCCACCCACUCACUGGGCCCUACCACCCCCAUGACUGCUCCUAUGCAGGAAUUUUCUAAGUGCCUUCUCUCUACCCUGGCAGAGAACAUGACUAUCACAGGCAUUUCCCAGGAAGCUUUUAAGACCUUGUGCCUCCAAGAGGACUUAAGAUUUGAGUGUCUUUGUCUCCAGUCCAUGAUUGGCAAUGACGGUGGACGUGUCAGUUUGAACAGUGCACCUGUGCCUCUGUGAGGUGGGUGGGCAGAGCCAUUCAAAGGGGCCCCGGCAGCCCAGGGAGGGCAAGUAACAUGCCCGGAGCCCAUGGAUACAGAUCCUUUCUGAGUGGCCCUCUGAGAUGGCUAGGUGCAGUUUGGAAGAGUAAAUACUUGGCAAGAAACUGCCUGUCCCAGCCACACCAGAAGCUUGGGUUAAAUAAUACGGGGAGAGAAACAAACAAACAAAAAUAAAAGUUAAACCCACCAAAAAUGCAGGGGGGUGUUGUGUAGCCCUUUAACAUGAUGUCAAUGAAUACUUGGUAGCAACAUGAAAAACUAAAUAUUCAAGAAUUUUUUUUUAAUUUAAGAAUAAAUGUGAAAGCAGAAUCCAUGGUAAUGCACCAUGAUUGUGAAAAUGUUAGAAAAAAAUUUUUUUGCAUUUUUCCAAGUCUGGAAGGGAUUGUGUGUAACUGAAAAUGAUGAUAAGAGCAUGGACGACAAUGGUGGUGAGACCACAAUUAUUUGUAAUUAGAAUAAAAAGCACUUAACUGUG
ensembl:lncRNA